rnacentral:rRNA from 1 species
AGAACGAACGCUGGCGGCAUGCCUAAUACAUGCAAGUCGAACGAACUCUUCGGAGUUAGUGGCGCACGGGUGCGUAACGCGUGGGAAUCUGCCCCUUGGUUCGGAAUAACAGUUGGAAACGACUGCUAAUACCGGAUGAUGACGAAAGUCCAAAGAUUUAUCGCCCAGGGAUGAGCCCGCGUAGGAUUAGCUAGUUGGUGAGGUAAAGGCUCACCAAGGCGACGAUCCUUAGCUGGUCUGAGAGGAUGAUCAGCCACACUGGGACUGAGACACGGCCCAGACUCCUACGGAGGCAGCAGUAGGGAAUAUUGGACAAGUGGGCGCAAGCCUGAUCCAGCAAUGCCGCGUGAGUGAUGAAGGCCUUAGGGUUGUAAAGCUCUUUACCCGAGUAUGUAUAAUGAACAGUAAGUACGGGUAAGAAUAACGCCCCGGUACUAACCGUCCGUGCCAAGUACGACCGUACGGUAAUCCGU